rnacentral:rRNA from 1 species
GACGAACGCUGGCGGCGUGCUUAACACAUGCAAGUCGAACGGUAAGGCCCUUCGGGGUACACGAGUGGCGAACGGGUGAGUAACACGUGGGUGAUCUGCCCUGCACUUCGGGAUAAGCCUGGGAAACUGGGUCUAAUACCGGAUAUGACCGCAUGCUUCACGGUGUGUGGUGGAAAGCUUUUGCGGUGUGGGAUGGGCCCGCGGCCUAUCAGCUUGUUGGUGGGGUAAUGGCCUACCAAGGCGACGACGGGUAGCCGGCCUGAGAGGGUGACCGGCCACACUGGGACUGAGAUACGGCCCAGACUCCUACGGGUGGCAG